rnacentral:rRNA from 1 species
AACGUAGGAGGCGAGCGUUAUCCGGAUUUACUGGGUGUAAAGCGCGUGCAGGCGGUUCUGCAAGUGGGACGUGAAAGCGCCCGGCUCAACCGGGCGAGGCCGUUCCGAACUGCGGGACUGGAGGCAGGUAGAGGCGUGUGGAAUUCCGGGUGUAGUGGUGAAAUGCGUAGAGAUCCGGAGGAACACCAGUGGCGAAGGCGGCCAACUGGGCCGGACCUGACGCUGAGGCGCGAAGGCGUGGGGAGCGAAC